GGUGCUAUAGUGUAGUGGUUAUCACUCAGGAUUUUGAAGCCUUCCUAGGUUAUAAAUCUUCCUGAAACCCAGGUUCGAACCCUGGUAGCACCU